GAUGAACGCUGGCGGCGCGCUUAAGACAUGCAAGUCGAACGGAACUUAGUUGAAUGUUUACAUGAUACGAAAGUUUAGUGGCGGACGGGUGAGUAACACGUGAGCAACCUGCCUUAGAGAACGGGACAACAGAGAGAAAUUUCUGCUAAUACCGUAUAUGACCACAGUACCGCAUGGUACAGGGGUGAAAGGAGCAAUCCGCUCUAAGAUGGGCUCGCGGCUGAUUAGCUAGUUGGUGAGGUAACGGCCCACCAAGGCGACGAUCAGUAGCCGGAUUGAGAGAUUGAUCGGCCACAUUGGGACUGAGACACGGCCCAGACUCCUACGGGAGGCAGCAGUCGGGAAUAUUGCACAAUGAGGGAAACCUUGAACGAGCAAUGCCGCGUGAGUGAUGAAGGUCUUUGGAUUGUAAAACUCUGUUGUAUGGGAAAAACGACCAGGUUAGGAAAUGAACUUAGGUGUGAUGGUACCAUACCAGAAAG
rnacentral:rRNA from 1 species